rnacentral:rRNA from 1 species
UACGUAGGGGGCAAGCGUUAUCCGGAUUUACUGGGUGUAAAGGGAGCGUAGGCGGUUCAGCAAGUCAGAAGUGAAAGCCCGGGGCUCAACUCCGGGACUGCUUUUGAAACUGCCAGGCUAGAGUGUCGGAGAGGUAAGUGGAAUUCCUAGUGUAGCGGUGAAAUGCGUAGAUAUUAGGAGGAGCACCAGUGGCGAAGGCGGCUUACUGGACGAUGACUGACGCUGAGGCACGAAAGCGCGGGGAUCGAACAGG